rnacentral:rRNA from 1 species
CGCCAGUGGCAUUGCCGGGUAGCUAUGUUCGGAAUAGAUAACCGCUGAAAGCAUCUAAGCGGGAAACUAGCCUCAAGAUGAGAUCUCACUGGGACCUUGAGUCCCUGAAGGGCCGUCGAAGACUACGCGUUGAUAGGUCGGGUGUGUAAGCGCUGUGAGGCGUUGAGCUAACCGAUACUAAUUGCCCGUGAGGCUUGACCAUAUAACACCCAAACAAUU